ensembl:lncRNA
UAUUUCUCAGAAGUGGGGUGGAAAAGACGGCCUCUCUCAUUGGCCGAUUCGUAAGGGACUGUUCGGUCAUUUGUUGCCAUAACAACCCAUUCAGGGAGGCCAGUGGGCCCGGGGGAGGCUAUUCCCGAGGCCCAACCCAACCGAUUUAAGGCUAGCUCUCAGCGGCCGGCUCUUCGACCCUCCCUCCGCAUCGCUCCGGCCGCUGAGGCGCUCUGUCAAUCACCAGCCCUUCCGGCAGCCAGGCGGCCGCAGCGGAAAGCCAGGGCUGAACCCAGAAGGGGCGCUUGGCGCGCCCCGCCUACCCCUGGCGCGUCCUGCGACUCAGGUGCUCCCGAGAGCCUGGGCGGGCCCCGCUGUCGCGGCCGACCGUCCCCUCCCAGAGCCGAGGGCCAGAGGGAAACGCCGGCUUCACCCGGAAGCUCGGGAAGAGCUAGACUCGGCCCCGGCGCGCCGCUUUCCACUGCCACAGACAAAAAACACCUCAGUUGACUGUCUAGAGUUGAAGCCCUUGAUUUAGAAGGUGUGUGUGAGAGAGAGAGAGAGAGAGGAAAAGAGGAAGGCUUUUCUAUGAGGCAUGUGGAGGAGAUAUUUGGGAACCCAGUCCUGAGUUCUAGGAAAGCUUUCUCACUACAGCCUCACCCAGCCCCGAGCCGAUAGCCCCUUCGAAACACCCCUAGGGUUCGCAGUUUGGGUCACCUAAGAAAUACUACAUAAAUACUUGAAAGAAUCUUUUCCCAGGUUUCUAAAGUCCUAUUUGGAGGCUGGAAAUGACGCAAAACACAGAGCAUUCAAGUGCGGAGGAGCUGCCACAGAACACAAAUGGAGACAUGGAUUCAGUCCUAUCUCGGAAGACCCCACAUGCCAAGGAGCAACUAGACCCAUGGGCCACAAGUACUGAACCUGCAAUUUAGAGCCCUCGAGCUGCAAUUUCAGUAUCCCACACACCUAGAGUCCUUGCUUCCCAGCAAGAGAAGCUACUGCAAAGAGAAGCCCGCACACCGCAACUGGAGAGUAGCCCCUGCUCUGCCCAUAACUAGAGAAAGCCUUCGCACAUCAAUGAAGACCCAGCACAGCCAAAAAUAAAUAAAUAUAGAUUUUAAAAAGGAAUUAUGUGCUUCAGUUUUAACUGCAUCACAUUCUAAAAUUCAUUUCCCAGAUUACCUGGUGGCGGAAAUUCUUGUGAGUCAAAAUAAAAGCCCUGUUCUUCUUAGCACUUAAAUCAUUUUCUGGUGGUGAUUUCUGCUCUGAGAAGCCAGUUCAUCUAAUUUCAGGACUGUUCUGUGCCAGGAAAUAACUUGGGUUAAGGCAAGAACAGAGCCUGUUAUCAGAUAGUAUCACUGGAAGAAUAUACCAGAGAAACGGGUGACAGUAAUUGCCCUUGGACAGGGCAACAUGGGAAACAGGGUUGGAUGUGGCUCUGCCAGGCUUGACAGGAAUCAGUUAGGCUUGAUUCCAGGCUGCUGGUUGAAUUCAAGCCUAUGCCACAUAUUUCCUCAUUCUCCUUGGACCAGUGGCUACCUGGGACAUGUUCUUCUCAUGAAGGGUCACCGGAGUCCAGGAGAGUAAACUGAAACAUAAGAUGCCUCUUGAGAUCUCAGCCUGCAACUGGCACACUUGUCAUUUUGGCCCACAUCUCAUUGACCAAACCAAGUUACAAGGCAAAUGCAUCAUAGGUUGGGGUGAGGGGAGAUGUCCUCUGCCUCCUCUAGUAGGAGACACUGAAAAAUUAUAUGGGGAUGAGAGUUGGAUCACUGGCCAGGGAACUAAGAUCUCACAUGCUGCAGAGCGACUAAGCCUGCCUGCCCAACUAGAGAAGCCUGCUACUGCAACA